rnacentral:rRNA from 1 species
GACGAACGCUGGCGGCGUGCUUAACACAUGCAAGUCGAACGGAAAGGCCCUGCUUUUGUGGGGUGCUCGAGUGGCGAACGGGUGAGUAACACGUGAGUAACCUGCCCUUGACUUUGGGAUAACUUCAGGAAACUGGGGCUAAUACCGGAUAGGAGCUCCUGCUGCAUGGUGGGGGUUGGAAAGUUUCGGCGGUUGGGGAUGGACUCGCGGCUUAUCAGCUUGUUGGUGGGGUAGUGGCUUACCAAGGCUUUGACGGGUAGCCGGCCUGAGAGGGUGACCGGCCAAAUUGGGACUGAGAUACGGCACAGACUCCUACGGGAGGCAGCAGUGGGGAAUAUUGCACAAUGGGAGGAAGCCUGAUGCAGCAACGCCGCGUGCGGGAUGACGGCCUUCGGGUUGUAAACCGCUUUCGCCUGUGACGAAGCGUGAGUGACGGUAAUGGGUAAAGAAGCACCGGCUAACUACGUG